rnacentral:rRNA from 1 species
AUACGUAGGUGGCAAGCGUUGUCCGGAUUUACUGGGUGUAAAGGGCGUGUAGGCGGAGAUGCAAGUCAGGAGUGAAAUCUAGGGGCUCAACCCCUAAACUGCUUUUGAAACUGUAUCCCUUGAGUAUCGGAGAGGCAGGCGGAAUUCCUAGUGUAGCGGUGAAAUGCGUAGAGAUUAGGAGGAACACCAGUGGCGAAUGCGGCCUGCUGGACGACAACUGACGCUGAGGCGCGAAAGCGUGGGUAGCAAACAGGAUUAGAUACCCUGGUAGUCCACGCUGUAAACGAUGAAUACUAGGUGUGGGGGGACUGACCCCCUCCGUGCCGCAGUUAACACAAUAAGUAUUCCACCUGGGGAGUACGAUCGCAAGAUUGAAACUCAAAUGAAUUGACGGGG